AUAUUGGACAAUGGGCGAAAGCCUGAUCCAGCAAUGCCGCGUGAGUGAUGAAGGCCUUAGGGUUGUAAAGCUCUUUCAGCAGGGAAGAUAAUGACGGUACCUGCAGAAGAAGCCCCGGCUAACUACGUGCCAGCAGCCGCGGUAAGACGUAGGGGGCUAGCGUUGUUCGGAAUUACUGGGCGUAAAGGGCGCGUAGGCGGAUUUGCAAGUUAGGGGUGAAAUCCCGGGGCUCAACCCCGGAACUGCCUCUAAAACUGCUAAUCUAGAGUUCGGGAGAGGUGAGUGGAAUUCCGAGUGUAGAGGUGAAAUUCGUAGAUAUUCGGAGGAACACCAGUGGCGAAGGCGGCUCACUGGCCCGAAGCUGACGCUGAGGCGCGAAAGCGUGGGGAGCAAACAGG
rnacentral:rRNA from 1 species